GACUCUGCUGCCGUUUUACCAACAAAGUUCAUGGAAUGUUCUAAAUCCUUUCUUGUCAUUUCAGCCGUCUUCACAGCGUCUUCACCAGGAGUGCACUCCACCUCACAAAACUGCUUCCCUUGCUCAUCUGUGAGCAGCAACUCCUCACGCAUUAGAGUUUAUCACGGGAUGGUGGCAAUUCAGUCUCGUCUUCAGGCUCCACUUCUCAUUCUAGUCCUCUUGCUGUUUCCCCUCCAUCUGCAUUUACUGCCUCCAGUGGAGUCUCGAAACCCUCAGAGUCAUCCACGAGGGCUGGAAUCAAGUUCUUCCGAAGGUCACUGGCUGUGGAUUCUGACCCAUUCCUCUCGUCUUGCUGAGAAUCGCAGGGGUUCCUUUCUCUAAUGGCCCUUUUGAUUCAAUUAUGUCCCACGAAGAAAACAGGGGCACCAGCUACCUUGAACUGCUGCAGACUGCACUGCAAGACUGACCCACAUGCAGAAGAACCAGGCAGGACCCUAGAGUGACCUUUGCUUCAUCGACACGGUAACACCCCCGCCACGUAGGGAGCAACAGCACGCUUUUAGGCACACAGGAAGCACGAACACCUAAGGAGCCUGCUCGAGCUUAUGCCCACCCCUACACCUAACGACAAAACUUCCACGUUGAAUAUUUAUUCCCCACCUCACAUCAACAGUACCUGCUUUCCCUUACUCGGGGAGCCACGGCGUGGGAAACUGCGGUCUCCUUAUUUGCUGCAAAUAAAAUUUACUUUGUGGGACAACUGCUCCUGGUGAAGGCUUUGAUUUCGACUCACCAAGAAGCGAACUCACGUUGCUCGGCGACACACACUCCGUUUCAUGCUCAUAUUUGGACCUCUUCCCACGAAUCACAAAUGUUCUUGAUGACAUCUGGAUGGCGCAUCCUUUCCAGAGGUUUUCAGUUUACUUUUCCCAAAUCCGUCAGAGGAAUCAAUAGCUAUGGCAGCUGUAGCAUCAUGAAAUGUGUUUCUUCUUAAGUGAUAAGACUUGCCAGUUGAAAUUACUCCUUGAUCCAUGGGCUGCAGAAAGGCUGCGUGUUAGCAGGCAUGACAACAUUACUCUCGUUGAACAUCUCCAUCGGAGGUUUUGGGUGAGCAGGUCCCAGAAGCCAGGAGGUGCAAGGAGCUGGAGUCCUCUGUUCCAGGUCGUGAGUGAGCAGACCUCACUAACUCUUCAUGGCCUUAAAUCUAAGCGGCUGUUUUAGAAGCUUCCCGGGGAAAAGCGAAAGCACAGCAGGAACUGUGGUGGGCAUCCCAAACUCAAGUCGUUAUCUGAACGUCCAGUCCUUGUCCAAAUGCGGGCAGGGUUGUCCUACUGCAAAAUGCCUGUGCGGCAACUCAGAAAAACAAAGCUGUUCUUCUCAUCACAGACACCUGCUUCCACUCCACACCUAGCCGGCCCUGGCAUCGUCCACCUUGCCGCUCACUCCGUCAUCAGCCCGCCACACUCCGCUCCUCCCUUAUCCCCUUCCCACAUUGCUGCCAGAGAAGCUCUGGGGGAAUGCAGCCUAGGGAUGGUGAUGGCGAAAAAAACAAUUAACAGUUAAGUUUCCGUUUAAAUAAGUUUUUAGAAGAGAAGUAGGGUAGGGUAUGUGAGGAUUGAGAUGAUCAGAGCUUUUCCAAAAAGCAGAAUAGAAAACGGAAGGUGGCCGAGAAUCAGGUGCGAGACACAGCAGCUCAGGCACUCAAGGACAAACAGGAGUGCACGCCUGGUUGUUUGGCCACAGAGCCGACUACCGUGCAAAGGCACUGGGGAAGAUCUCAGUGGAGGUUCCAGACAGGGUGGCCUGGACCACGGCACAGCCAAAAGGGAGCAAGAGAUCAGCCGGACGCAGUGGGAUUCUGGGCAGGCAGAGGCAGA